UGAGGUUUGGUUUGGGAGAGGAUGAGAAGAGAGGGGGGGGAGGGGGGGUGGGUGUGUUAGUAUGAGGUUUGGUUUUGGGAGAGAUGAGAAAGAGAGGAAGGAGGAGGACAGGGUGUGUUCUGUAUGAGUUUGGUUUGGGAGAGGAUGAGAAGAGAGGAGGAGGGGACAGGGGUGUUAGUAUGAGGUUUGGUUUGGGAGAGGAUGAGAGAGGGAGGCAGAGAGGAGGAGGAGGGGACCGGGGGUGUGGUCAGUAUGAGGUUUGGUUUGGGAGAGGAUGAGAG
rnacentral:lncRNA from 1 species